CGAGAUGUAGCUUUAACAAAAGCAUUCAGCUUACACCUGAAAGAUAUCUGUUAGUGCCAGAUCAUCUUGA
rnacentral:tRNA from 1 species